GACGAACGCUGGCGGCGUGCCUAAUACAUGCAAGUCGAGCGGACGAAUCGAAAGCUUGCUUUUGAUUCGUUAGCGGCGGACGGGUGAGUAACACGUGGGCAACCUGCCCUGUAGAUGGGGAUAACACCGAGAAAUCGGUGCUAAUACCGGAUAACACGAAAUGUCGCAUGACGUUUCGUUGAAAGACGGCGCAAGCUGUCGCUACAGGAUGGGCCCGCGGCGCAUUAGCUAGUUGGUGAGGUAACGGCUCACCAAGGCGACGAUGCGUAGCCGACCUGAGAGGGUGAUCGGCCACACUGGGACUGAGACACGGCCCAGACUCCUACGGGAGGCAGCAGUAGGGAAUCUUCCGCAAUGGACGAAAGUCUGACGGAGCAACGCCGCGUGAGCGAAGAAGGCCUUCGGGUCGUAAAGCUCUGUUGUUAGGGAAGAACAAGUAACGCAGUAACUGGCGUUACCGUGACGGUACCUAACGAGAAAGCCACGGCUAACUACGUG
rnacentral:rRNA from 1 species